rnacentral:rRNA from 1 species
GGUUCGAUUAUGGCUCAGAUUGAACGCUGGCGGAUGCUUUGCAUACACGCAAGUCGAAACGGGCAGCACGGACUCUGGUCUGGUGGCGAGUGGCGAACGGGUGAGUAGUCGUAUCGGAACGUGCUCAGUAGGAUAACUACGAAAGCGUAGCUAAUACCGCAUACGCCCUUCGGGGGAAAGCGGGGACCCUUCGGGCCUCGCACCAGAGCGGCCGAUAUCGGAUUAGCCGAAGUUGGUGGGUAACGGCUCACCAAGGCGACGAUCCGUAGCUGGUCGAGAGGACGACCAGCCACACUGGGACUGAGACACGGCCCAGACUCCUACGGGAGGCAGUGCGGGGAAUUUUGGACAAUGGGGAAACCUGAUCCAGCCAUCCGCGUGUGCGAUGAAGGCCUUCGGGUUGCAAAAAAGCACCGGGCAGUGAAGAAAACGGCACGGAUACACCCCGUGCAACUGAUUUGUACCUGCAGAAUAAGCACCGGCUAACUACGCCAGCAGCCGCGGUAAUACGUAGGGUGUGGUGCCGUUAAUCGGAAUUACUGGGCGCAGCGUGCGCAGGCGGUUCGGAAAAGAAAGAUGUGAAAUCCCAGAGCUUAACUUUGGAACUGCAUUUUUAACUACCGAGCUAGAGUGUGUCAGAGGGGAGGUGAGAAUUCCGCGUGUAGCAGUGAAAUGCGUAGAUAUGCGGAGGAACACCGAUGGCGAAGGCAGCUCCCGGGAUAACACGACGCUCAUGCACGAAAGCGUGGGGAGCAAACACAGACGAUACCCUGCAGUCCAUUUAAACGAUGUCAACCAGCUGUUGGGGCCUUCGGGCCUUGGUAGCGCAGCCAACGCGUGAAGUUGACCGCCUGGGGAAAGUACGGUCGCAAGAUUAAAACCAAAGGAAUUGACGGGGACCCGCACAAGCGGUGGAUGAUGUGGAUUAAUCUGAUGCAACGCGAAAACCUACCUACCCUUGACAUGUUCGGAAUCCCGAAGAGAUUUGGGAGUGUUCGCAAGAGAACCGGAACACAGGUGCUGCAUGGCUGUCGUCAGCUCGUGUCGUGAGAUGCUGGGCUAAGUCCCGCAACGAGCGCAACCCUUGUCAUUAGUUGCUACGAAAGGGCACUCUAUCGAGACUGCCGGUGACAAACCGAGGAAGGUGGGGAUGACGCUGUUCUCAUGGCCCUUAUGGGUAGGGCUUCACACGUCAUACAAUGGUCGGGACAGAGGGUCGCCAACCCGCGAGGGGAGCCAAUCCCCAGAAACCUGAUCAGCCCGGAUCGUUCGUAACUCGACUGCGUGAAGUCGGAAUCGCGGUAAUCGCGGAUCAGCAUGUCGCGGUGAAUACGUUCCCGGGUCUUGUACACACUGCCCGUCACACAUGGAGUGGGUUUUACCAGAAGUAGUUAGCCUAACCGUAAGGAGGGCGAUUACCACGGUAGGAUUCAUGACUGGGGUGAAGUCGUACGCUGCAGCC